AGAGUUUGAUCCUGGCUCAGGAUGAACGCUGGCGGCGUGCCUAAUACAUGCAAGUCGAGCGAACGGACGAGAAGCUUGCUUCUCUGAUGUUAGCGGCGGACGGGUGAGUAACACGUGGAUAACCUACCUAUAAGACUGGGAUAACUUCGGGAAACCGGAGCUAAUACCGGAUAAUAUUUUGAACCGCAUGGUUCAAAAGUGAAAUACGGUCUUGCUGUCACUUAUAGAUGGAUCCGCGCUGCAUUAGCUAGUUGGUAAGGUAACGGCUUACCAAGGCAACGAUGCAUAGCCGACCUGAGAGGGUGAUCGGCCACACUGGAACUGAGACACGGUCCAGACUCCUACGGGAGGCAGCAGUAGGGAAUCUUCCGCAAUGGGCGAAAGCCUGACGGAGCAACGCCGCGUGAGUGAUGAAGGUCUUCGGAUCGUAAAACUCUGUUAUUAGGGAAGAACAUAUGUGUAAGUAACUGUGCACAUCUUGACGGUACCUAAUCAGAAAGCCACGGCUAACUACGUGCCAGCAGCCGCGGUAAUACGUAGGUGGCAAGCGUUAUCCGGAAUUAUUGGGCGUAAAGCGCGCGUAGGCGGUUUUUUAAGUCUGAUGUGAAAGCCCACGGCUCAACCGUGGAGGGUCAUUGGAAACUGGAAAACUUGAGUGCAGAAGAGGAAAGUGGAAUUCCAUGUGUAGCGGUGAAAUGCGCAGAGAUAUGGAGGAACACCAGUGGCGAAGGCGACUUUCUGGUCUGUAACUGACGCUGAUGUGCGAAAGCGUGGGGAUCAAACAGGAUUAGAUACCCUGGUAGUCCACGCCGUAAACGAUGAGUGCUAAGUGUUAGGGGGUUUCCGCCCCUUAGUGCUGCAGCUAACGCAUUAAGCACUCCGCCUGGGGAGUACGACCGCAAGGUUGAAACUCAAAGGAAUUGACGGGGACCCGCACAAGCGGUGGAGCAUGUGGUUUAAUUCGAAGCAACGCGAAGAACCUUACCAAAUCUUGACAUCCUUUGACAACUCUAGAGAUAGAGCCUUCCCCUUCGGGGGACAAAGUGACAGGUGGUGCAUGGUUGUCGUCAGCUCGUGUCGUGAGAUGUUGGGUUAAGUCCCGCAACGAGCGCAACCCUUAAGCUUAGUUGCCAUCAUUAAGUUGGGCACUCUAAGUUGACUGCCGGUGACAAACCGGAGGAAGGUGGGGAUGACGUCAAAUCAUCAUGCCCCUUAUGAUUUGGGCUACACACGUGCUACAAUGGACAAUACAAAGGGCAGCGAAACCGCGAGGUCAAGCAAAUCCCAUAAAGUUGUUCUCAGUUCGGAUUGUAGUCUGCAACUCGACUACAUGAAGCUGGAAUCGCUAGUAAUCGUAGAUCAGCAUGCUACGGUGAAUACGUUCCCGGGUCUUGUACACACCGCCCGUCACACCACGAGAGUUUGUAACACCCGAAGCCGGUGGAGUAACCUUUUAGGAGCUAGCCGUCGAAGGUGGGACAAAUGAUUGGGGUGAAGUCGUAACAAGGUAGCCGUAUCGGAAGGUGCGGCUGGAUCACCU
rnacentral:rRNA from 1 species